UACGUAGGGUCCAAGCGUUGUCCGGAUUUAUUGGGCGUAAAGAGCUCGUAGGCGGUUCCGUAAGUCGGAUGUGAAAACUCGGGGCUCAACCCCGAGACGCCAUCCGAUACUGCGGUGACUUGAGUCUGGUAGGGGAACACGGAAUUCCUGGUGUAGCGGUGAAAUGCGCAGAUAUCAGGAGGAACACCAAUGGCGAAGGCAGCACUCUGGGACGUGACUGACGCUGAGACGCGAAAGCGUGGGGAGCAAACAGG
rnacentral:rRNA from 1 species